rfam:Ovis aries breed Texel chromosome 3, whole genome shotgun sequence.
CAAAAGGCCCUUUUUAGGGCCACCAAAACCUCAAGAAAAGGGUUG